GGCGUAUCUUCAAACAACGGUGGCAGGCUUCGAAAUCCUGUCAACAUGACCUUGAGCUUAGAAAGCAGAUUGCUGCCAGUGUCGACAUCCUCUCGCACACAUGCCGCUUUGAAUCUCUCGAAUAGCUGCGAGACCUCCGUUAGCUUUGGAUCCAUGCCGCCCAGGGUGUGUUCUGUGUUCACUGGUGUUUCUUCGUCUUUGAGCUUGAUGUGGCUUUUUU
rnacentral:misc_RNA from 1 species